rnacentral:lncRNA from 1 species
CCCGAGGACUCGGCCGGCAGUCACACCGGCGGUCCGGCCGAAGCGUGCAGACCCGACCGUGCCCAAGACGAGGAUGAUGACAGCUCCCAUGGAAUUUACUUAAAGAGUUAUUCAGAGAGUAAAUAUUCCUUCUUGUCUGGCCUAGUGCAUCUGUAUUUGAAUAAUGUAUCAUCUGAGUCAACACGGCCUUCUGUGCUCUGCGCCGAGCCUUUGCCGCGUUGCACAGCU